CGAGCUUGGGCCGAAUUGAGCCGCUCGCGAUUUCCUAUCGAUUCCACAAUCCCGACUCACCCCGUAAAAUCAGAAUCGGUGAUCCCCCAUCGAAUCACGAUUCUGACAACCAUGCUGACGAUGCCUAGUAAUCGAGAGAGGAGGCGGUGGCUACCUGCACUUGCAGAGAGGUGAGAACGGGUAUCGGCAGUGACUGCAGGCAAGGUAGCAAUUCUAACCAUCAGACUCGAGUAAGAGAAGAGAAGAACGAACUUGGACAACUGUGCACUUCUUUCAAUAUAUAUAAUCCCGUGGAAGCGAAAUUUUUCUCCUGGGAAGUAGGUAUCGAAAUUUGUUGCUGGACUCAUCAGUAAAUCCUAGAUUCUAUACCAUUUCCGUGAUCAGUCCUCAGUAUUUUCGGCACAAUUUUCAGAUGCAUCCUUAAUAACAUAUUAUUUAUGUAGUCUCAAGCCAUGGAUAGUCCACUUGACGAAGCUACAUACAACAGAAAUUAUGUAGGACUGUUAUUUCAGUGCGGCAUACAUCAUUAGAUUUAACUGGUCUGAUUCGUGAAAACAGAUGAGCUUGAAAUGAUAGAAAUAACUAUGCAUAAACUGAGAGGAAAGGAAGAUCACGAGCCACCGGAAUGCAGACGAAUGGAUGAGCAAACGUCAAGGUGAUCCCCGGGGCCUCGGUCAUAUCUACUUUGCAGUUUUUCCCCGUCCCAGCCUUCCAAUCGAAACACUGAACUAGACUUGCGAGUGCCGCUUGAAUCACUUGAAGCGCUAGAGAGACUCCCGGGCAGCUCCUCCUUCCACUUCCGAAAGGCAGCAGCUGGUAAUACUGACCCCUGACGUCGACUUCACUGCUCUUCCCUUCCCCGAGCAUGAACCUUUCAGGGAUGUGGUAGCCUCCCACUGUGCAUUCCUCGGUAGAUUCCCGGGUGAACAAAGGGCCCGAGGGGUGCAGUCUUAAGGUCUCCUUAACAAUCGCUUGCAGGUACGGAAGGCUCGGGAUGUCCGACUCCUCCACCAACC